CAAAGGUUUGGUCCCAGCCUUCCUAUUAGCUCCCAACAGAUUUACACAUGCAAGCAUCUACAUCCCAGUGAAAAUGCCCUCCAAGUCACAAAGAUCAAAAGGAGCUGGUAUCAAGCACGCUUCACUAGCAGCUCACAACACCUUGCUUAGCCACACCCCCACGGGACACAGCAGUGAUAAAAAUUAAGCCAUGAACGAAAGUUUGACUAAGUCAUGGUUGAUUAGGGUUGGUAAAUUUCGUGCCAGCCACCGCGGUCAUACGAUUGACCCAAGCUAAUAGGCAUACGGCGUAAGGAGUGUUAAAGAGUUAUACAAAAUAAAGUCAAGCCUUGACUAAACCGUAAAAAGCCAUAGUUAAAAUUAAGCUAAACCACGAAAGUGACUUUGGUACAAUCUACUGCACGACAACUAAGACCCAAACUGGGAUUAGAUACCCCACUAUGCUUAGCCGUAAACCCAGGUAGUCAUAAAACAAGACUAUUCGCCAGAGUACUACUAGCAACAGCCUAAAACUCAAAGGACUUGGCGGUGCUUCAUACCCCCCUAGAGGAGCCUGUUCUAUAACCGAUAAACCCCGAUCAACCUCACCAACCCUUGCUACUUCAGUCUAUAUACCGCCAUCUUCAGCAAACCCUAAAAAGGAAUGAAAGUAAGCAUAACUAUCCUACGUAAAAACGUUAGGUCAAGGUGUAACCCAUGGGAUGGGAAGAAAUGGGCUACAUUUUCUACACCAUAGAACACCCUAUACCCCACGAAAGUUUUUAUGAAACCUAAAAACCAAAGGAGGAUUUAGCAGUAAAUUAAGAACAGAGUGCUUAAUUGAAUAAGGCCAUGAAGCACGCACACACCGCCCGUCACCCUCCUCAAGUAUCACAGCGAACGCCCAAUCCACUAAUUUAUGCCGAGCGCCCCCACAAGAGGAGACAAGUCGUAACAAGGUAAGCAUACUGGAAGGUGUGCUUGGAUAAAA